CCCUUCCACCCAGCUGCGUUUCUUCUCCUCCGUUGACCCCUUGGAUCGUUGUUAUUGUAUACUUGAUUCCUUCCCUUCCGUCCCGUUUUUUAUCCUCACUGUCUCUCUGACUCCUUCGCCCUUCUUCCGCCCUUAAUCAAUAUGUCCUCUUCCUUACUUCCGCCCUUUCUGCUGAUCUUCCCACCACCUCGCGUUCCUUUCCCGCCUUUCCUUUCCGGUUCCGUCUUUUCCAGCCGCUUUGUUUAUAAAGAAGGGUGGGGUAGACCAAACAUCAUGGCGUCAAGGUUCUUCGUCUUGGUGGUGCUAGGCGGCAGUUGAUACGAGAUUCCUCCCGUUUCCCGCGGAGCAGUCCGCUACCCUUGGCUCUCCCUAGUCCUCUCGACCACCCACCCUUGAGGGGGAGGCAGUCUUGGGGAUCUCAGGGGUGCCACGCGGGUUCAGCGUCCCCUCAGCUCCUCGAUCCGGCUGAGGAGGGGAGCUACAGCUCAGACCCGACUGCUCUACGCGGUGCUUCACUGAGAGCCCUCAAUGAAGCGACCCUGCCGCCAUGCUGGCUCCACCGGAAGUCCCAAUGUUAUUGUGUAUUGAACUGCUUUUUCUGUCAAUUUGUUGUAAAACAUAGUGUUUUGGUACUCAAUUUAUAAAAUCAUAAUGUAAUUUGA